GGGACAGUAGGUUGGUCGUGCCACCGGUACGUACUGGUCUCACUGAUUCCUCCCUCCUGAAGAACCGUAAUGCCAUUAAUUUGGUGUUGCGGGGAAACAGGACUGUUACUUUGAAAAAAUUAGAGUGUUUAAAGCAAGCUAACGCUUGAAUACAUUAGCAUGGAAUAAUGAAAUAGGACGAUCGAUCCUAUUUUGUUGGUUUCUAGGAUUGACGUA
rnacentral:rRNA from 1 species